rnacentral:tRNA from 1 species
UUAACCGAAACCAAGGAGGAGGUAUACUACUGUUAAUAGUAACAAUGAGAAUUUAUUUUUCCGGUUAAA